AAUAGAUACCCCGGUAGUCCACGCCGUAAACGAUGAGUGCUAAGUGUUAGGGGGUUUCCGCCCCUUAGUGCUGCAGCUAACGCAUUAAGCACUCCGCCUGGGGAGUACGGCCGCAAGGCUGAAACUCAAAGGAAUUGACGGGGGCCCGCACAAGCGGUGGAGCAUGUGGUUUAAUUCGAAGCAACGCGAAGAACCUUACCAGGUCUUGACAUCUCCUGACCGCCCUGGAGACAGGGUCUUCCCUUCGGGGGACAGGAUGACAGGUGGUGCAUGGUUGUCGUCAGCUCGUGUCGUGAGAUGUUGGGUUAAGUCCCGCAACGAGCGCAACCCUUGUCCUUAGUUGCCAGCAUUCAGUUGGGCACUCUAAGGAGACUGCCGGGCUAAAAGUCGGAGGAAGGUGGGGAUGACGUCAAAUCAUCAUGCCCCUUAUGACCUGGGCUACACACGUGCUACAAUGGGCGGUACAGAGGGUCGCGAACCCGCGAGGGGGAGCCAAUCCCGAAAAAACCGCUCUCAGUUCGGAUUGCAGGCUGCAACUCG
rnacentral:rRNA from 1 species